CCUUACUCCUACGGGAGGCAGCAGUGGGGAAUAUUGCACAAUGGGCGCAAGCCUGAUGCAGCGACGCCGCGUGAGGGAUGACGGCCUUCGGGUUGUAAACCUCUUUCAGCAGGGAAGAAGCGCGAGUGACGGUACCUGCAGAAGAAGCACCGGCUAACUACGUGCCAGCAGCCGCGGUAAUUAUAGC
rnacentral:rRNA from 1 species